AAGGAUCAUUAAAGUGUUAAGCCUGCGCACCCGUGCGCAGGUGAAACUCCACCCUUGACUACUAUACCACACGUUGCUUUGGCGGGCCCGCCUCCGGGCCGCCGGGGGCUCUGCCCCUGGCCCGCGCCCGCCAGAGACACACUGAACCCUUUGUGAAAUUGGACGUCUGAGUUGAUUAUCAAUCAUUAAAACUUUCAACAAUGGAUCUCUUGGUUCCG
rnacentral:misc_RNA from 1 species